rnacentral:misc_RNA from 1 species
AAAGGCUAGAGAUUUAUUUGAACGUGCUCUCACAGCUGCUGGUUUGCAUUUCACCGAGGCUGAAAAAUUAUGGGAAGCAUAUAGAGAUUUUGAGAAAGCCAUAUACCAAACCAUUGCUGAAACCGAUACUCAGGCAAAGGAAAAACAAGUCCAGCUAAUCCGGAGCAUUUUCCAUCGCCAGUUGUCACUUCCUCUAUCUAACAUGAAUUCAACACUUGAGGCCUAUAAAACAUG